AUUUAGUACUUAAUGUUUUACAGUGUUUAUUUAUUUAUUUAAAUACUAAAAAAAAAAAGAUUAACUGGUAAUCAUAUUCUUUUAUCUAUGUUUGUAUUUAUGUGUUUGUGUUUAUUUAUUUGCUCGGUCGACAGUUGAUAUGACAAGAGCAUUUUUAUUUCAAUAGAGCGCUGGCACCUGUCGCAGAAACAUUCCAUUGUAUUGAAAGUGAAUACCUGCAUUCUCGCUAAAUUCUCCAUACAACAAAAGAAGUAACUAUUACUUUGGCUGCUUAAGUAAUUUUUAAAAAAGAAUAUUUUUGGUUUUAAAAAAUGUAGAAACAAAUUUACAGCCAACAAUAAUUUUGCAUAAAAAUAUGCUUUAUAAUAUUAUAAAAGAUAUAAUAAUAAAAUCCCAGGACAACACCAUUUCCAAAACUAUACACUUUAGAAUUGAAUAUAUACUCACACAAGAGCUUACUAAAAUACACUUACAAGCAAUUGUUGCAACUGAUAACCUUAAUGCACCCAUUCGCACAAAUAAUUGUAUUGAUAUGCUGAUUUUUUAAUGUGCACUAUAUUUGAAUAGUAAGUUUAUAAUGUUUCUAUUCUUUAUAUUUAUACUAUUUAUAGUCAGCUAUUAGAUCGACCAUACACUUAAAAAUCAUAUGUAUGUAUGUAUGUGUGUGUGUAUGUAUUUAUACGCAAAACAAAUGCUAAACUGAAGCACAUUUGAAAGUGCACAUCGCUUACUAGCAAUUUUCACAGCUUUUAUAAAUACGGGAAAAUGAAUUUUGCACAAAAAUACAAGCAUUACCCGCUUCACCUAUUUCCUAAAGCUGGCUUGCAUGAACCAGGAAAUAUAUUAAAAUAGUUAUUAAUGGAAUUAAGAGUUUUCAAUAAUCUGAUAUGAAUAGUGUGAUUAAAUCAAAUUCUAAUUUUAGGCUAGAUUUCUGAAAUUUGCCAGGGCAGUUCGAAAAAUAAUCAAUCCAAUUAAUGUUCCAUCAUUACAGCUUUUCAUGAUUUGUUAAUUUUAAACAAAAUCUGAGUGGCUAAUAUGUAUUUCAAGUAGGUAUAGAUAACGAUAUGUCCAUAAAAGAUAUCAGCUUUGCAGCCUGAAUACAAUUGACUUUUUUAUAUUUAGACAUAUGUAUGUAUGUAUUUCUCUGUCCUAUAACAUUAUGAAAAGUAAAACUUCAUAUUUAAUAAUAUAUCCCAUAUACAAUAAAAAUUUACAUUUCGAUACGAUUCGCAGAAGCAUAUUGUGGAAUGGCUAAAAAAACAAACUUGUUCUAUAAUUAAGCGCAAAAGUUAGAUACUAAAUAAAUAACUACGAAAUUGUGAGGCAAGAAAAUUGUGUUAAUGUAAAAAAUAUGUUAAUUAAGUAAAGCAAUAGAAUGAGUAUCUUUAUGUAGUACAAGUUUGCGUUUCAAACGUUUAAAGCUAUAGUUAGAAUUGAAAUGAUUUGAAAUAAACCUGCAUACAAUAUUCAUACUACGCAUAGCUAUGUACGUACAUAUACAUCUAUAUGAAUAUACAUACAAACAUGCAUUCACAAUUAUUAUACUAAUAUCAAAAGUCAACGGGUGUAACGACAUUGCCAACCAUAUAAUUAAUACAAAUUCAGCCGACAAUGGUAUAAACAAACAAACAAAUAUUUCGCCGCCGCACCACCCUCAUUCAUUUUAGCCAUUGAAUGUUGGUAUCACGCUUUCUAUAUGAGUGAGAUUGUGCAACAAGUUGAGCCAGUUCUUGAAAGCGAAAAUGAGCAAAGGCGAAAUCCAAAAUUGGAAGUGAAAACAGAAAUGUCAAAUAAUAUUAUUGAAAAUUUUGAUAAAUAUAUACAUAUAUGUAUCUACAUACAUUUGUAGAUACCCAGAAUAUGGCGAUAAUAGGAUCAAUGAUUUUUAACCGAGCAUACACUAUUGGAAUAUGCUGAGAAAUCAACACGUUCAUCUCAUUAAUUUUUUAGUUUCGAUUGAAUAUUAACUUUCUCAAGAGCGUUUAAUUUUCAAGAACGUUGGCAGUGUGUCCUACCAAUCGAAAGGGUUGAAAGCUUGCCCAGAC